AGCAUAUUCUAGUUUAGUUUAGACCGCAGGUAUCGUGUCUAUUGCAAUUCGCGCACAAGAUCGUGUGUCAUCGACGCACCGGUUUUGCGCAUCUCUUGUUUUCUUAUCGUGAACUGUCGCGUCGUUGCCUGCUAUGGCAUACGCCAGCAUGCGCUCUCGAUGGGUUGCAGCCAGUUUCAUGCCUGUCGUUGGGUAGUCUAUACGUGUUUUGACCGGCUCGUAUUUUUUGUUGGGACUUCUGCUUUCCAAAUUUCCAUUAUAUUUGAUCAUCAAUCAAUUAUUCAAUUAUAACGACUAUAGACAUGUUAUUUAUUAUUUGCGCGUUUAAUGAACAUUAUUGUACAAAAGUGGUAGAUAUUUGAUCGCGUUUCGUGUGCACACUUAUGCAAAUAACCAAGUUCGGUGUCCCCUCGCUAAAUAAAUCGGAUGGCCCUUAUGUAGAUUUAUUCAUCAUUAACAUUACUAUUUGCCGUGCCUUGGAGUCCAUGAGUUCUGCAUUGUUCUUGAAAGCGACUUCAGAACCGGUUUAUAGGAAGGGCUUUUAAAUACCAUUUGUCGUGAGAAACAGUACCAAGGUGGGUACAUUGGGCCUAAGUUGUUUGUAUUGCUCCUUGCUCGUUGUUAUGCUAAUGCAAUUUUCUUUUCACCUCAUGUGGAUGUGGAAGCCGAUCAUUAAUCUGCACGGGCCAUGACGAGGAGCGUCUUUUGGUUUCCUCAGAACGCGGUAGAAUUUUCGCUCUUGUUUCAAACUAUUUAAUUUUUUACUGGGGCAUUCCAUAGAUCUGGGCGCAGCGUCAACAUCUUACAUUUUGCGAUACACAGAGACCAGAAGACUCGGAAAGAACAGAAGUGUGAAGCUAAUAAACAUCGUCAAACGUCGCUAUACUUUUUUCUACUUUCAAUAUAAUUGGACCAAAAAACAGCGCCAAAUUUGUGUUUCAAAUUGAAUUUGGACAAUAAAAUACAGCGCAAAACUAUUGUUAUAAAAUUAUAACGCCUGUUUAAAUCAACACAAGAAUUGUUUUCUCAUUUGUGUUUUGAACUUGACUGAGGUAAAUAGUUUAAAAAUAUUCUAAGCGAUAGUUUUUAUUUUGCCAAGCACUUGCUGCUUGCUUUUAAUGUAGUUACAAUUCACAUUGUAUUGCUGUAGCAAAAGGUAUCGUUAAGUAUGUUUGUCACAUAUGAAAUUACGUCCUUAAUUAAAAGAUUGUUUUUGAUUUAGGUA